rnacentral:rRNA from 1 species
CCUACGGGAGGCAGCAGUGAGGAAUAUUGGUCAAUGGACGAGAGUCUGAACCAGCCAAGUAGCGUGAAGGAUGACUGCCCUAUGGGUUGUAAACUUCUUUUAUAUGGGAAUAAAAUGUUCCACGUGUGGGAUUUUGUAUGUACCAUAUGACUAAGGAUCGGCUAACUCCGUGCCAGCAGCCGCGGUAAUACGGAGGAUCCGAGCGUUAUCCGGAUUUAUUGGGGUUAAAGGGAGCGUAGGUGGAUUGUUAAGUCAGUUGUGAAAGUUUGCGGCGCAACCGUAAAAUUGCAGUUGAAACUGGCAGUCUUGAGUACAGUAGAGGUGGGCGGAAUUCGUGGUGUAGCGGUGAAAUGCUUAGAUAUCACGAAGAACUCCGAUUGCGAAGGCAGUUCACUGGACUGCAACUGACACUGAGGCUCGAAAGUGUGGGUAUCAAACAGGAUUAGAUACCCGAGUAGUC